UACAGAGGGUGCUAGCGUUGUUCGGAAUCAUUGGGCGUAAAGAGCGUGUAGGCGGCUAGAUAGGUCCGUUGUGAAAACUCGAGGCUCAACCUCGAGACGUCGAUGGAAACCAUCUGGCUAGAGUCCGGAAGAGGAGAGUGGAAUUCCUGGUGUAGCGGUGAAAUGCGCAGAUAUCAGGAGGAACACCGGUGGCGAAGGCGGGUCUCUGGGCCGAUACUGACGCUGAGGAGCGAAAGCGUGGGGAGCGAACAGG
rnacentral:rRNA from 1 species